rnacentral:rRNA from 1 species
UACGUAGGGUGCAAGCGUUAAUCGGAAUUACUGGGCGUAAAGCGUGCGCAGGCGGUUAUGCAAGACAGAUGUGAAAGCCCCGGGCUCAACCUGGGAACUGCGCUUGAGACUGGCACGCUCGAGUUCGGGAGAGGAUGGUGGAAUUCCCAGUGUAGAGGUGAAAUUCGUAGAUAUUGGGAAGAACACCGAUGGCGAAGGCAGCCAUCUGGACCGACACUGACGCUGAGGCGCGAAAGCGUGGGGAGCAAACAGG